rnacentral:lncRNA from 1 species
AAUUGAGGUACGCAGAAGAUGAACAAACCUGAGAACUGAUGAUCCAAAGAAGAGUCGGAGCUCGAGCAUCACAUAGCCGUCAGCUAUGGUGGCUUGUAGGCGGAUGUGUCUCAGACCUAAGUUUUUGCCGCUGGACCGUGGUUACGUUCAUCCUAGCUUGGAGGCAAUGGUGCGGGUGGGUAUGCAUGUGCAGGGCGAAGAAGUGGACGAAGGCCGAAGUAGCAAUCUCUGCCUCCCUAUCGCUGCGUCCUGCUCCUCAAUAUGUCACCUUAGUCAUGGCCGCCUUAUCCCUCAUGCUGCUGAUUUGAAUCUGCCCUACUCUUCUUCUCCUAGACUGCUCGAGCGCUUCAGCGGGUGCCUUCCCAACGACAGGGAAGGAAGGACCAGAGUAAGUAUAAUAUGGAAGUUCCUGUUCAAAUUAGUAGAAUAUGCUUACCAGGUGUUAGAAUUUAUAGAUAUAUACCACAAUUUUCACUACAGAUUAAAUAUAAUAUGAAAGUUCUUGUCAGUUUUCUUUGUAGUUAGUUUGCGACAAUCACAACAUGAUCAUUUGAAUAUUUUGUUGUAACAAAUCUAUUAUAGCUAUUGUUGUGAAAGAAAAAUCCUUAAAAAAUCACCCAAUAGCAACCCGAGGAAGUUAAGAGACAUAAAUGAUCCAGAUAUGGUUCCAUUAUGCUCCCUCUGUUCGAUAAUAUAUGACGUUUUCUGGCAGUACACAAUGCCAAAAACGUCUUAUAUUAUGGGACAGAAGCGAGUUUGUGAUUUUUUUGGUUAUUCUUGAUUCCACAUGCUUCAUUUGGGUGAAUAAUCCAUUGGCAUCCAAAUUUGGAGAUUAAUUCACCUAUGUAAUGUGCAUAAUCAAUGACACAUUUUUGCUAUGAUGAAUAUGUAAAUAAAUUUUGUACAAUUCCAUAAAUACACAGUUAAGCAUUUUUGUUGUAAAGAUAAUGUAGAUAAUUUUUUAUAGCUUUGCAAAUAAGAUUAACCUUGGUGUAUAAAUCCGAUCAGAGUAGAGGUAGCUAUGCAAUGGUCUUGCGUCACAUCAUUAGUCUAAGGCUCUAACCACAUUCAUGGAGAAUCUAACAUCCCAACUACGCAUAUCUGUUUGUUCCAGAAGCCAAGAAAUUGAGGUACGCAGAAGAUGAACAAACCUGAGAAUUGAUGAUCGAAUGAAGAGUCGGAGCUCGAGCAUCACAUAGCCGUCAGCUAUGGUGGCUUGUGGGCGGAUAUUUCUCAGACCUAAGUUGUUGCCGCUGGACCGUGGUUACAUUCAUCCUAGCUUGGAGGAAAUGGUGCGGGAAGAUAUGCAUGUGCAGGGCGAAGAAGUGGACGAAGGCCGAAGCAGCAAUCUCUGCCUCCCUAUCGCUGCGUCCUGCUCCUCAAUAUGUCACCUUAGUCAUGGCCGCCUUAUCCCUCAUGCUGCUGAUUUGAAUCUGCCCUACUCUUCUUCUCCUAGACUGCUCGAGCGCUUCAGCGGGUGCCUUGCCGACGACAGGGAAGGAAGGACCAGAGCAAGUAUAAUAUGGAAGUUCCUGUUCAAAUUAGUAGAAUAUGCUUACCAGGUGUUAGAAUUUAUAGAUAUAUACCACAAUUUUCACUACAGAUUAAAUAUAAUAUGAAAGUUCUUGUCAGUUUUCUUUGUAGUUAGUUUGCGACAAUCACAACAUGAUCAUUUGAAUAUUUUAUUAUAGCUAUUGUUGUGAAAGAAAAAUCCUUAAAAAAUCACCCAAUAGCAACCUGAGGAAGUUAAGAGACAUAAAUGAUCCAGAUAUGGUUCCAUUAUGCUCCCUCUGUUCGAUAAUAUAUGACGUUUUCUGGCAGUACACAAUGCCAAAAACGUCUUAUAUUAUGGGACAGAAGCGAGUUUGUGAUUUUUUUGGUUAUUCUUGAUUCCACAUGCUUCAUUUGGGUGAAUAAUCCACUGGCAUCCAAAUUUGGAGAUUAAUUCACCUAUGUAAUGUGCAUAAUCAAUGACACAUUUUUGCUAUGAUGAAUAUGUAAAUAAAUUUUGUACAAUUCCAUAAAUACACAGUUAAGCAUUUUUGUUGUAAAGAUAAUGUAGAUAAUUUUUUAUAGCUUUGCAAAUAAGAUUAACCUUGGUGUAUAAAUCCGAUCAGAGUAGAGGUAGCUAUGCAAUGGUCUUGCAUCACAUCAUUAGUCUAAGGCUCUAACCACAUUCAUGGAGAAUCUAACAUCUCAACUACGCAUAUCUGUUUGUUGCAGAAGCCACGAAAUUGAGGUACGCAGAAGAUGAACAAACCUGAGAACUGAUGAUCCAAAGAAGAGUCGGAGCUCGAGCAUCACAUAGCUGUCAGCUAUGGUGGCUUGUAGGCGGAUGUGUCUCAGACCUAAGUUUUUGCCGCUGGACCGUGGUUACGUUCAUCCUAGCUUGGAGGCAACGGUGUGGGUGGGUAUGCAUGUGCAAGGCGAAGAAGUGGACGAAGGCCGAAGAAGCAAUCUCUGCCUCCCUAUCGCUGCGUCCUGCUCCUCAAUAUGUCACCUUAGUCAUGGCCGCCUUAUCCCUCAUGCUGCUGAUUUGAACCUACCCUACUCUUCUUCUCCUAGACUGCUCGAGCGCUUCAGCGGUGCCUCGCUGACGACAGGGAAGGAAGGAUCAGAAGUGACGGCUAUAGCCCUAGGAAUUUGGAAACCAUAGGAAUUGAUCUUCUUUAUAAAACGUGUGUGGCAAGGGACGUGGAACCUGCUUCAGGGAAGACGAGAUGGAUCAUGUGAGAGAAGGGACCAGUUUUUUUUGCCAAUUGCCUAGUCCAUAUUGUCCAUGUAUUCGAAGCAUGCAAACGUGUGGCUCCUGGAGUUUGUAUUGCUCUUGGAUAUGUGUAAGCGUUUGGUUUUUUAUUUUUCCCUUUUUUGCUUUCCAAUUCGGACAUGCAUCAGUUCGUACCUGAUUGUAUUAGACUCAAACAAUACGUGUCCAAGUUUUAUUGCUCUUGGAUAUGUGUAAGCGUUUUGUUUUUUAUUUUUCCCUUUUUUGCUCUCCAAUUCGGACAUGCAUCAGUUCGUACCUGAUUGUAUUGGACUCAAACAAUACGUGUCCAAGUUUUUUUAAAACAAUAUGUGUCCAUGUAUUUCUUCCCGUGCGCCCUAGUGUUAUGGUUCUAUAUGCAUCUAACGUGGCAACAUAAAGGUUCAAUAUUGCUGGUACAUAUAUUUUUACAUGUUACAUAGAAACUUUAAAUCUCAGCCGUUGUUAUUCUAAUCAAAUGGUGUAAAAACGAUUAGCAUAUAUGGACAAACGUGAUGGCUUAUUUUACUCUUGUUUUAAUUAUAUAUAUAAUAGAUGGCCGCAGCUAGGCGUAGGUCGGGUGAUAUGCUGGAUUUGUAAACCGCGUUCGCGUCCGUCC